AAGCACUGUAACUUCCUGUCUAUUCUCCUUGAGCCUCCUGGCAUCCUCCACGGAGACCUGGAAUGCGUUUGCUACUACUUCCUCGGGCAUGGAUCUGAUUGCUGAAACUCGUCCUGCUAGUUGGUUGAUUCUUGCGUUGUCGUUGGUCUUGAAAGAUACCCAUUCUAGACCCUGGUUGCUUGCCUUUGUUAUCACUACAAAGUUUUGUGGCACUGUGAACAUUUGACCCUCUCGAACUUGGCCAUCAAAGACUGAAUCUCCAUUUUCAUUAACAAUCUGAAUGCGACCACUUCCUCUGGUGAUGUAUCGGAUGCUAUGGGCAUUGAUGUUCCAGUGUGGAGUCAUUAUAGCAUUCUGCACGAAUAUAAUCAAGAAAAUUUGCUUCAAGUUAUUUAUUUUCUGAUGAAUGUAAUGGUUUUGAGUCUUACCUUGUAGAGAACAGCUUUCUGAAUACUGAGUUGAAGGUAUCUGAGGAUGGGGAAGUUGUGAUUAUUGAGGUUGGUGACACGCCCGGCCCGUGGGUUAUAGAUGUCAGCUUGUGAUGGGUUGUUGAUACUGUGUUUCAUUCUGGCUGUGCAGAAAGUUUCCUCUAAUCCAUUAUAGCUACCUUCACGGCCCCUCUCGAGUUGCCGUUGUGCUUCUUCCUCUCUUUCUUGUCGUUCUUCUUCUUGGCUUCUUU
rnacentral:lncRNA from 1 species